rnacentral:rRNA from 1 species
UGCAGUCGAACGAGUUCUCGUUGAUGAUCGGUGCUUGCACCGAGAUUCAACAUGGAACGAGUGGCGGACGGGUGAGUAACACGUGGGUAACCUGCCCUUAAGUGGGGGAUAACAUUUGGAAACAGAUGCUAAUACCGCAUAGAUCCAAGAACCGCAUGGUUCUUGGCUGAAAGAUGGCGUAAGCUAUCGCUUUUGGAUGGACCCGCGGCGUAUUAGCUAGUUGGUGAGGUAAUGGCUCACCAAGGCGAUGAUACGUAGCCGAACUGAGAGGUUGAUCGGCCACAUUGGGACUGAGACACGGCCCAAACUCCUACGGGAGGCAGCAGUAGGGAAUCUUCCACAAUGGACGCAAGUCUGAUGGAGCAACGCCGCGUGAGUGAAGAAGGCUUUCGGGUCGUAAAACUCUGUUGUUGGAGAAGAAUGGUCGGCAGAGUAACUGUUGCCGGCGUGACGGUAUCCAACCAGAAAGCCACGGCUAACUACGUGCCAGCAGCCGCGGUAAUACGUAGGUGGCAAGCGUUAUCCGGAUUUAUUGGGCGUAAAGCGAGCGCAGGCGGUUUUUUAAGUCUGAUGUGAAAGCCCUCGGCUUAACCGAGGAAGCGCAUCGGAAACUGGGAAACUUGAGUGCAGAAGAGGACAGUGGAACUCCAUGUGUAGCGGUGAAAUGCGUAGAUAUAUGGAAGAACACCAGUGGCGAAGGCGGCUGUCUGGUCUGUAACUGACGCUGAGGCUCGAAAGCAUGGGUAGCGAACAGGAUUAGAUACCCUGGUAGUCCAUGCCGUAAACGAUGAAUGCUAGGUGUUUGGAAGGGUUUCCCGCCCUUCAGUGCCGCAGCUAACGCAUUAAGCAUUCCGCCUGGGGAGUACGACCGCAAGGUUGAAACUCAAAGGAAUUGACGGGGGCCCGCACAAGCGGUGGAGCAUGUGGUUUAAUUCGAAACAACGCGAAGAACCUUACCAGGUCUUGACAUCUUUUGAUCACCUGAAAAAAUCAGGUUUCC